rnacentral:lncRNA from 1 species
UAGUCCGCGCUCUGAUUGGCCGUCUAAGGUCACAUAGUUACUAUUUAAGCUGCAACUCUCUCAGCUGCGUUAUCAGAUAUUUCCCCAGCGAAACAUCAGACUCUUACUUAACAUGGGCAAGGAAAGGACCAGCGUCAACAUGGCCGUCGUCGGCUACUACUAGACCUUCCAUCAGCAGAUGAAUGGCUAGUACAACACGGACUUGACCCGGCUUCUGUACACGGACACGCUCUGGACACGGACAACACGAUGCUAGCUCUCCCGGACCACACCUAAUUCUAUUUGUAGGCCUACAUUGACCAAAUAAAUCAAAAUUAUCCGUA